GUUACAAAAAUAUUAAUACCAAAUCAAAAAACAGCAGAGAGCAGAAAUCACAUAUAUGACAUCUUUCUACUUUUUACUUGGUAUUUUUAUUUUUGUUAGUAAAACACCGAAUUGUUUUUUUUAUUUUUCUUGUGCUUUCUCUGGGUGUCAGCAAUAAAUGUCCGCAUUUUCAGAUGACUGUAGGAUUGUGUCAGUACCUAGAUUGUAAAAUAUCAUAUGAUUAUUUUUCCAUUAAAUCCAUGUAUAAAGUUAAUUAUUCUGAGCAAAAUAAU